AAGUCGUAACAAGGUUUCCGUAGGUGAACCUGCGGAAGGAUCCAACGUUAAACAACCCUGUGAACUUUAAGUCCCCUCUUGCAGCCCAUGAGGAACAGCAAUCCCGGUAAAUCAUUGCCAAACAGUUUUGAUUCGGGACCUCUGUCCAUGGAAGCAGUGGCAUGGCUUCCCCAAGCAGUUAGUGAAUGACAGUGUCACUGACUGUGUAAGGAUAACGCCUCACGGUUGCUAGAGGUCGAUCACCGACCGGCAGACAUGUCACAGGGUCACCACGCCCCUUAAUCACUCCACUUGAAAAUGCCCCGCCUAGUGGUAACGCGCUAGGUAAAAAAAACCGAACAACUGUUAACAAUGGAUAUCUUGGUUCUC
rnacentral:misc_RNA from 1 species